GACGAACGCUGGCGGCGUGCUUAACACAUGCCAGUCGAACGGAAAGGCCCUGCUUUUGUGGGGUGCUCGAGUGGCGAACGGGUGAGUAACACGUGAGUAACCUGCCCUUGACUUUGGGAUAACUUCAGGACACUUGGGCUAAUACCGGAUAGGAGCUCCUGCUGCAUGGUGGGGGUUGGAAAGUUUCGGCGGUUGGGGGUGGACUCGCGGCUUAUCAGCUUGUUGGUGGGGUAGUGGCUUACCAAGGCUUUGACGGGUAGCCGGCCUGAGAGGGUGACCGGCCACAUUGGGACUGAGAUACGGCCCAGACUACUACGGGAGGCAGCAGUGGAGAAUAGUGCACAAUGGGCGGAAGCCUGAUGCAGCAACGCCGCGUGCGGGAUGACGGCCUUCGGGUUGUAAACCGCUUUCGCCUGUGACGAAGCGUGAGUGACGGUAAUGGGUAAAGAAGCACCGGCUAACUACGUG
rnacentral:rRNA from 1 species